GCAGCAGCCGCGGGAAUACGUAGGGUGCGAGCGUUAAUCGGAUUUACUGGGCGUAAAGCGUGCGCAGGCGGCCCGUUAAGACAGGUGUGAAAUCCCUGGGCUCAACCUAGGAAUUGCGCUUGUGACUGGCGGGCUCGAGUACGGUAGAGGGGGGUGGAAUUCCUGGUGUAGCAGUGAAAUGCGUAGAGAUCAGGAGGAACACCGAUGGCGAAGGCAGCCCCCUGGGCCAAUACUGACGCUCAUGCACGAAAGCGUGGGGAGCAAACAGGAUUAGAUACACGUGUAGUCCCUGUCUCUUAUAC
rnacentral:rRNA from 1 species